rnacentral:rRNA from 1 species
UACGAAGGGUGCAAGCGUUACUCGGAAUUACUGGGCGUAAAGCGUGCGUAGGUGGUUUGUUAAGUCUGAUGUGAAAGCCCUGGGCUUAACCUGGGAAUGGCAUUGGAAACUGGCUGACUAGAGUGCGGUAGAGGGUAGUGGAAUUCCCGGUGUAGCAGUGAAAUGCGUAGAUAUCGGGAGGAACAUCUGUGGCGAAGGCGACUACCUGGACCAGCACUGACACUGAGGCACGAAAGCGUGGGGAGCAAACAGG